AGGAUAGAUACCCUGGUAGUCCACGCAGUAAACGAUGAUCACUAGAUAUUUGCGACAUACUGUAAGUGUCUUAGCGAAAGCGAUAAGUGAUCCACCUGGGGAGUACGGUCGCAAGAUUGAAACUCAAAGGAAUUGACGGGGGCCCGCACAAGCGGUGGAGCAUGUGGUUUAAUUCGAUGAUACGCGAGGAACCUUACCAGGGCUUAAAUGUAGAUUGACAGUUUGAGAAAUCAGACCUUCUUCGGACAAUUUACAAGGUGCUGCAUGGUUGUCGUCAGCUCGUGUCG
rnacentral:rRNA from 1 species